UAAUGGUCUGAACAGACCCCUUACCAAACGAUUGGGUACCCAUGAUAAUUGCUCGACGGUGAUCUUGAAGAGCGCCUGCAACGAUUUCAGAAGCAGAAGCGGAACCGCCAUUAAUCAAAACAACAAGGGGUUUACCAUCAAUCAAGUCGCCAGAACGGGCGUUAAAGCGUUGGGCGUUGGUAUUAUCACGGCCUCGAGUGGAUACAAUUUCGCCUUGCUCAAGGAAAGCAUCAGAUACGGAAAUCGCUUCGGUAAGAAGGCCUCCAGGAUUUAGGCGUA
rnacentral:ncRNA from 1 species